AGAGGACAUACAGCUUCAAAGUCAUUGAAUGCAUUACUGUUAAAGCAUCUUUUGUCAUGAAAAGCAGUACCAAUAUACCUGUGUAAACUACAAACACUCUAAAUCCUGCUGAUGGAGAAAUACCUGGAAAAAAGCGUGUUGCUGCUCAUCUACCUUUUUCAUCGUUGAGGCCUGAUCAAACUCAUCUAUUUUCACCUGUGGUGCAGACCUUCAGUAACAGAUUCCACCUGUUGCAGCUUGCUCGAGCUCAUCCAUCUUCACCUGUAUCCCAAACUUCCAAGACCAAUCCGAACUACAAAAUCCACUGCUGCUAGAAGUUUGACUGUCCAUGAUGGUCUUGUGAGAUCACUUUCCUUAAUUUUUUAAAG
ensembl:lncRNA